rnacentral:rRNA from 1 species
AUUGAACGCUGGCGGCAGGCCUAACACAUGCAAGUCGAGCGGAUGACGGGAGCUUGCUCCUUGAUUCAGCGGCGGACGGGUGAGUAAUGCCUAGGAAUCUGCCUGGUAGUGGGGGACAACGUUUCGAAAGGAACGCUAAUACCGCAUACGUCCUACGGGAGAAAGCAGGGGACCUUCGGGCCUUGCGCUAUCAGAUGAGCCUAGGUCGGAUUAGCUAGUUGGUGGGGUAAUGGCUCACCAAGGCGACGAUCCGUAACUGGUUUGAGAGGAUGAUCAGGCACCACGGAACCGAGGCCCCGGUCCGACUCCCACGGGAGGCAGCAGUGGGGAAUAUUGGACAAUGGGCGAAAGCCUGAUCCAGCCAUGCCGCGUGUGUGAAGAAGGUCUUCGGAUUGUAAAGCACUUUAAGUUGGGAGGAAGGGCAGUAAGUUAAUACCUUGCUGUUUUGACGUUACCGACAGAAUAAGCACCGGCUAACUCUGUGCCAGCCGCCGCGGUAAAAC